AGCGAACGUUAGCGGCGGGCUUAACACAUGCAAGUCGAGCGAGAAAGGGGCUUCGGCCCGUGAGUACAGCGGCGGACGGGUGAAGUAACACGUAGGUAACCUUCCUUCCAGCGGGGGACAACGGUCCGAAAGGACCGGCUAAUACCGCAUACGUUCCCUGGGACCCUGGUCCCGGGAGGAAAGCUCCGCAAGGGGCACUGGGAUGAGGGGCCUGCGUAGCAUCAGCUAGUUGGUGGGGUAAUGGCCUACCAAGGCUAAGGACGCUUAGCUGGUCUGAGAGGAUGAUCAGCCACACUGGGACCUGAGACACGGCCCAGACUCCUACGGGAGGCCAGCAGUGGGGGAAUAUU
rnacentral:rRNA from 1 species